GAAAUGACGAGUCUGAAUCCUGUUGGAGUGAUUUGUUUCUUCAGACUUUGUAUCUUAAAUGAAAUCUUCUCCCUUAGAGGCCAUAUAAACUGAUGGUACAAUCUGCAACUCUAAGGCAAAUUCAUAGGUUAUACUUUUUCUUCUUCAUACUUGACAUUUGAACCUAACAAAUUUGAAUAGCCUGUAAUUUGAAAACUCUCUUGCGCAUCUCCUAGCAGAUCAGGGUAGCUUGUUCUGCCUUCUGGACAAAUGUUUCCCUUAAGUCAGCUUAGGGAGACUGUUCUGAUAUCAAGACUCUGUUUGAAUGCUAUAUACUCUCAGGUGCUUAUUUGUUCAUAUAUAUAUGACAUGUUUAUCAUGGAAGUGUUUCAAAACUAUC
rnacentral:lncRNA from 1 species